rnacentral:lncRNA from 1 species
CCAUAUGGUUACAUGUCAUGUAAUGGCGCAAAUGCCACAAAGCUCUCAUCUUCACAAAUGGCAAAUGCCAGGAGAUAGAUACUCUCAUUUCCAUCCCUCCCUACGGCUAUCAUAAGAGUACCCUUAUAUCGGCCAUAUAGAUGCGUUGCGUCGAUACUAAUUUGUUGGUGGCAGAAUUAGAAGCCUUGAAUGCAUGGAUCGAAUG